CAGGGGCAGGGGGGGAGAGCAGCAGGGCCCUGACUGAGCGCUGCCAGUGGCGUUAAGAGCAGCAGGGAUUAUCAAACACAAUAUCUCUCCCCCCCCCCCCCCCCCCCCGGAAUAUAAAGGCAGUGAAACAGAAGCUGUGCAGGAGAUAAGGCAGCAGCACCCGGCAGCUCAUAUGGAAUUACUGCAGUGACCUUGAGCGAGAGGCUGCCAGACAGAAAUCAACGGUCCCGGGUUCGGAAGCGGCUCCGGGGGAUGCCGACCCUCCCCAGGGCGCAGCUCCCGCGCUGGUACCCAAGGCCACGGCUGCAAUUUGGAAGUUCUUGCGUCACUCAGCUGCCCUGUGCCACCAGGCUCCUCCCUUGGAAGGGAAGGAGAUACGAGCACAUUCUUCCAUGGGCCAAAGCCUUUCCGGGGAAUGCUGUCCAGCUGCUUUAGCAGGAAGACAGCACUUUACUGGCAUACGCCAGGUCUCUCGUGAUGAUGCCAGGUCAAGAGACCCUGCACCCAGUUCAUCUGCCUUGGAAACCUGCUCUGAGCCAGGCCCAGCUGCAGUGUGUGUGACAGUCCAACCUGGAAUGCCGCUACAAAAAGCUCCAUUCCAGCUGUGAUGCACAAGGAAACCUGGACAGGAAGCAGUGCUAAGCCCAGACACAGACUGAUGGAAGCAAGAGGGGUGGCUCUAACUCAAGGCCUUACCAUGCUCACACUAGUUACAGUGUGGCUUUCACCCAUUUUAAUUCAAGAGACAUUAGUCUCAGAAAAAAGCAAGCAAGAGCUGGCUCAGAAUGAGGCAUGGGUACCUUGAGCUGGAUGGAAAGAGAUGGCGAGAUCAGCACAAGAAGUAAACUCAUGGGUGCUAAACCAGGCAAGGUGGCACACCCCUUAGGACAGUGUGUUUUCCCAGGGACCCGGGAUGCCUCAGAGAAGCCUGGACAAGCAGCCAGGAACAUGACCCAAAAUGGAAUGGAUUUUUCAACGCCACUGUCCUGGCACUUGGGCUCAUGAACACAAGGGACACCUUCUGCUCACCCACCCGCUAACCAAGCAAGACCAAGAAACAAAGCGUAAGACACAUCUCGUGUUGACUAGCGCUUUUAAAGCCUUCCUCUUUAGCAGAAAUGUCAGUAUUUGCUAGUCCUAACGGCUUCUGAGCUGUGAUAUUUCUUGCCUUGUCUCUCCUUGGCAAGUGCUCAUCUGCAGAAGUAACAGAUGAUCUAGCAAUCGUCUCGCAUCACAGCAUGUCAGAAAGGAGGCAGCCCACUAUCUGUAAUCACUGCAUCACCUCACAAAGAAGAAUCUCCGCUUGAUCUGUGUAAAUGUGCUUGUUUAUUGGUUUAAAAGUCUCUUUCUAGUUACGAAGGGCUUCACUCUCCCACUUGAGAGCACCUUGUUUCUUUAGCUCCUCAAACAAAGAAACCAUUUUGCUCACCACUGAAUCCAGCAGCCCAUAAACCUGCAGCAGAAAUUAACAGCAGGUUAAUUGCAGUGAAUACACAGGGAGAAAGCCUGGUGAUGAGAUGACAGACACAGAGAUGGUGUCUCACAGUGGAGCACAUUAACGUAUGGGCACGCACUCAUAGAAGAGGCUGCCUGCUAACAGAGCUUAGCUCUAGUAAUAACUUUUCUGGCUAUGAAGUGUGUUUAACAUUAUCUGAGGUACAAUUAAUUCUGUUCAUCCCUCAAGAGUCCACAAGCAUGCUAAAGACAUCCCAGAUAGAAAUCCUGCACGUGGCUAUGGGAUGGCUGGGUUUAUGAUAGCAGGUUCCAGGCUGGAAUAAAGGACAUCUUACUU